rnacentral:misc_RNA from 1 species
GAUGAAGAACGCAGCGAAAUGCGAUAAGUAAUGUGAAUUGCAGAAUUCAGUGAAUCAUCGAAUCUUUGAACGCACAUUGCGCCCGCCAGUAUUCUGGCGGGCAUGCCUGUCCGAGCGUCAUUUCAACCCUCGAACCCCUCCGGGGGGUCGGCGUUGGGGAUCGGCCCUGCCUCUUGGCGGUGGCCGUCUCCGAAAUACAGUGGCGGUCUCGCCGCAGCCUCUCCUGCGCAGUAGUUUGCACACUCGCAUCGGGAGCGCGGCGCGUCCACAGCCGUUAAACACCCAACUUCUGAAAUGUUGACCUCGGAUCAGGUAGGAAUACCCGCUGAACUUAAGCAUAUCAAAAGCGGAGGA